UACGUAGGGUGCAAGCGUUGUCCGGAAUUAUUGGGCGUAAAGAGCUCGUAGGCGGUUUGUUGCGUCGGCUGGGAAAUCCCGAGGCUCAACCUCGGGUCUGCAGUCGAUACGAGCAAACUAGAGUGUUGCAGGGGAGACUGGAAUUCCUGGUGUAGCGGUGAAAUGCGCAGAUAUCAGGAGGAACACCGGCGGCGAAGGCGGGUCUCUGGGCAACAACUGACGCUGAGGAGCGAAAGCGUGGGGAGCGAACAGG
rnacentral:rRNA from 1 species